GGAAGGAUCAUUACCGAGCUACACGCAAAAGUGCUUUUACCGAUACGGCUCUCGUAACCGUUGACGUUCUAGUGCGGGGCUUCUCGCCAAAAAUCGGCGCGAUCACGACGGCUGGGCGCCGAGCUUGCGCGAGUCCGUUCGCCGAUUUUAUCCGUAGAGAAGCUAACGAGGUUUAAAAUCAAUCGCCUAGACGCGCGGCUCAUCGUCGGCCGUUCUCGCUCGGAAUCGUCGGAUCAGCGGAGUUUGGAUACCUGACCGCGAUUCUAGAAAACGCGAGGCGACCGGCGCAUGUAGCCGUCGAAAAUGCGGUCUUGCGAUGAUUUUAUUCCUCAAAACCAGACGAGCGGGAUCGGAGUCGUAAAUAUCAUACUCCGAUUCUCCUUCGGGUACCUAUCGGGUACUAGCGAUACGGCUGACGUCUGGCCGUAGCGUAAAAUUCGCUAGUCUCGAAGAUCCGCAGUAAAUGCGGACAGAUUUAAAGAGUCGCCGGUUCGACGAUCCAUCGAUGAUGGUCGUCGAACGACUAAUCGCCGAAAGUAGCCGCGCAAAUAUAUAUUCGGCGAAAAUGCGAUCGGUUCUGAACGUUCGAGCAUGUCGACGUUCGGGUGACCGCCCGGAAUCCUAAAAACGAAGUUUCUAGUUUAAAGAAUAUAGCUUCGCCUCGCGGAGUGAUAUAUGAAUAAAAGAAUCCUAGCGAGAUUCCAUUCUAAGCGGUGGAUCACUAGGCUCGUGGGUCGAUGAAGAACGGGGCCAGCCCCGAGAAGAAGUGCGAAUUGCAGACACAAAGAACAUCGACGUUUCGAACGCAUAUUGCGGUAUCGGGCCAGCUCGAUACCACGCCUAUCUGAGGGUCGAAUAAAGAAAUCAAAUCGAUUAUACGUUUUCUACGCUAAGAAACGUACUCGAGCAAUGGGCUCCAGACCUUGUCGAGAGGUCUUCGAGUCUCAAAGAUUUCGCUCGUCGCAAAAUAAUACGAGCGUCUAGAACAUAAACGCGACACUAAUGCGUCGCGUUUGAACAGCGAGCGUAAGUCCGUAUGGACGCGCGUCCUAAUCGAAGGUACUAAAAGUUCGACCGCUCCGGUCGAGGAAAAUACGCUUAUAGUCGACUUCGAUGCAAAUACGGACGCGACGUCGAGUCGAGGAAAACUCGCGUACGGGACGAUAAGCCGAAGAAUAACUCGAAAUUUGACCUCAGAUUAGACGUGAAAACCCGCCGAAUUUAAGCAUAUAACUAGGCGGAGGAAAAGAAAUUAACGAAGAUUUCCCCAGUAACGGCGAGUGAAAAGGAAAUAGUUCAGCGCCGAAUCCCUUAGCCCUUGGUUAAGGGACCUGUGGCGUGAAGGAGAGCCUAUCUGACGGGCUAUAAGCUUCGGAAUAUCCCUCGAAUGGGAACCCGAAGCAGGUGCGAGGCCUGUAACGAGGCGAUACCCGUCAGUUUGCGCCUCCGUAGAGUCGGGUUACUUGGGAGUGUAGCCCAAAGUGGAAGGUAAACCCCUUCUAAAACUAAAUAUUACCACGAGACCGAUAGCGAACAAGUACCGCGAGGGAAAGUUGAAAAGAACUUUGAAGAGAGAGUUAAAUAGGGCGUGAAACCGCUUAGAAGAAAACGGACGGAGCCGUCGGGGGCCUUCGGGAAUCAGUCGCACGAUGCGCGAAUACGUCGCGGCUCGGAACGCAAGUCCGGCCGUGAUGUGAUAUAGUAGCGUUCGUACGGCGCAUUUCUCGAAGGUAAGCACCGCGACCGAUACCGUAGGCCGGCGAAGCGAUCGGAUUGAGGGCGAGUCCUCUCGCGGGGACUCGUAACCAGUCCGUUCGUACACUCGUUGGACCGAAGUAAAGUAUCGAGCGCCAAAGUAACAGGUACGUCGGCUUGAAAGCUCGCCCGAGUAAUGGAUAGUUGGUCAAUCGGUUGGUAUCUGCUCGCAGGUGCCGAUCUAUUCGAUUCGGCUUAGAAGUUAUCGGCGACGCUCGACGUAUCGGCGUCCGCGGUGUCAGUGUCGGCCACCCGUCCGACCCGUCUUGAAACACGGACCAAGGAGUCUAACAUAUGCGCGAGCUAAUGGGUGGAAAACCCAAAGGCGCAAUAAAAGUAAACGCUGUUUCGGACAGCUAAGGUACGAUCCUAGGAUCCGAGCGAUCUUGGGCGCAGUACCGUCCCGUCCCGACCGCAUAUCGGUAGGGCGGAGAUAGAGUGCAUACGUUGGGACCCGAAAGAUGGUGAACUAUGCCUGAGCAGAGCGAAGCCAGAGGAAACUCUGGUGGAGGUUCGUAGCGGUUCUGACGUGCAAAUCGAUCGUCAGACUUGGGUAUAGGGGCGAAAGACUAAUCGAACCAUCUAGUAGCUGGUUCCCCC
rnacentral:misc_RNA from 1 species